UGCCCUACGGGAGGCAGCAGUGGGGAAUAUUGCACAAUGGGGGAAACCCUGAUGCAGCAACGCCGCGUGAGUGAAGAAGUCAUUCGUGAUGUAAAGCUCUAUCAGCAGGGAAGAAAAUGACGGUACCUGACUAAGAAGCUCCGGCUAAAUACGUGCCAGCAGCCGCGGUAAUACGUAUGGAGCAAGCGUUAUCCGGAUUUACUGGGUGUAAAGGGAGCGUAGGCGGCUCUGUAAGUCUGAUGUGAAAAUUUGGGGCUCAACCCCAAACGUGCAUUGGAAACUGCAGGGCUUGAGUGCCGGAGAGG
rnacentral:rRNA from 1 species